GACGAACGCUGGCGGCGUGCUUAACACAUGCAAGUCGAACGGGGUUAAGGAGCUUGCUUCUUAACUUAGUGGCGAACGGGUGAGUAACGCGUGAGGAACCUGCCUUUCAGUGGGGGACAACAGUUGGAAACGACUGCUAAUACCGCAUAAAACCGUAGUACCGCAUGGUACAUCGGCCAAAGAUUUAUUGCUGAAAGAUGGCCUCGCGUCUGAUUAGCUAGUUGGUGGGGUAACGGCCCACCAAGGCGACGAUCAGUAGCCGGACUGAGAGGUUGACCGGCCACAUUGGGACUGAGAUACGGCCCAGACUCCUACGGGAGGCAGCAGUGGGGAAUAUUGGGCAAUGGGCGAAAGCCUGACCCAGCAACGCCGCGUGAAGGAAGAAGGCCUUCGGGUUGUAAACUUCUUUUACCAGGGACGAACACAAUGACGGUACCUGGAGAAAAAGCAACGGCUAACUACGUGCCAGCCGCCGCCGUAACAC
rnacentral:rRNA from 1 species